rnacentral:rRNA from 1 species
GCAAGUCGAGGGGUAACAGUGCUGCUUGCAGCAGCUGACGACCGGCGCACGGGUGCGUAACGCGUAUGCAACUUACCUUAUACAGGGGAAUAGCCCAGAGAAAUUUGGAUUAAUGCCCCAUGGUCUUGAGAAAUCACAUGAUAUUUCAAGUAAAACUCCGGUGGUAUAAGAUAGGCAUGCGUCCCAUUAGUUUGUUGGUAAGGUAACGGCUUACCAAGACAUCGAUAGGUAGGGGUCCUGAGAGGGAGAUC